UAAAGAUAAAAUUAAUAAGUAUAUAAUUAAUAAAAAGAAUUUUAUUAUAUAAAUUAUUUUAAUGGGGGUUAAAGUAUAUUUUAUAGAAAAAAUUUUUAUAUUUAUAAAUAAUUAGUAUUGUGAAAGAAUUUUGAAAUAAGUUAAAAUAUAAUUUUUAAAAAAGUAAUUUUAUUUUAAUGUAUCUUGUGUAUCAUAGUUUAUUAAUAAAAUAUUUCAAUAGAAAUAUUCUCGAAAUGAAAAGAGAUAAUUAAUUAAUAAAGUUAUUGUUGCAAAAAUAUUUUUAAUAAUUAAUUUGAAAUGAAAUGUUAAUCGUUUUUUAUUAUAUCUAGUUUUUUUAGAAAUAAAUUUAAUUUAUAAUUUAUUAAAAAAAUUAUUUUAUUAAUUAAAUAUUUUUAUAAUAAAUUAAAUAAUUUAAGGGAUAAGCUUUAAAUUAAAUUAUUAUAAUUAAAUUUAAUUUAAUUUAAAAUUUUUAAAAUUUAUAUUUUUUAAAAAUUUUUAUUUAUUAUAAAUAAUUUUAUAAAAUUUAAAAAUUUAAUAAAAUUUAAUUUAAUUUUUUAUAAAAAAAUAAUUUUUAAUAAAAUUUAUAAUUAGUUAUAAUGAUAAAAUUAGUAUAUAAUAUAUUAUUAAUAAUUAAUUAAUUUAAAUUAAUUAAAAGGAAUUCGGCAAAUUUUAUAUUCCCUUGUUUAUCAAAACCAUGUCUUUUUGAGAAUAAUUUAAAGUCUAAUCUGCCCCCUGAUAAUUAUUAAAGGGCUCCCGUAAUUUGCCUGUCCCAAGGUAGCAUAACCAAUAGUCUUUUAAUUGAUGACUUGUAUGAAAGAUUGGAUGAAAUAUAUCCUGUCUUUUUUUUAUUUAUAAAAUUUAAUUUUUUAGUUAAAAAGCUAAAAUAAAAUUAAAAGACGAGAAGCCCCUAUAGAGUUUUAUUUAAAUAACUAUUUAUAUUUUAUUUAUAAAUAAUUAAGAAAAUUAUUUUAUUUAUAUUUUGUUGGGGUGAUAAAAAAAUAAAUAAAACUUUUUUUAUAUGAUAAACAUAAAUAAGUGGUUAAUUGAUCCAAUUAUAUUGAUUAUAAGAUUAAAUUACCUUAGGGAUAACAGCGUAAUUUUUUUUUUUAGUUCUUAUAAGAAAAAGAGUUUGCGACCUCGAUGUUGGAUUAAGAUAAAAAUUAAAUGCAAAAGUUUAAGUUUUUGAUCUGUUCGAUCAUUAAAAUCUUACAUGAUCUGAGUUCAAACCGGUGUAAGCCAGGUUGGUUUCUAUCUUUAGUAUUAUAUAAUAUUUUAGUACGAAAGGAUCAAUUAUUAAAAAUAAUUUUAUUAAAAAUUAGAAUAUUAAUAAUAUAAUAAUAAUAAUAAUUUUAAUAAUUAUAUUAUAUAUUUAUU
rnacentral:rRNA from 1 species